rnacentral:rRNA from 1 species
GCUUACGGCCAUACCACCCUGUCUGCGCCUGGUUUCAGAAGCUAAGAAGGGUCGGUCCUGGUUAGUACUUGGAUGGGAAACUGCCUGGGAAUACCAGGUGCUGUAAGCU